rnacentral:rRNA from 1 species
UACGUAGGGUGCGAGCGUUGUCCGGAAUUACUGGGCGUAAAGAGCUCGUAGGUGGUUUGUCACGUUGUCCGUGAAAACUCACAGCUUAACUGUGGGCGUGCGGGCGAUACGGGCAGACUGGAGUACUGUAGGGGAGACUGGAAUUCCUGGUGUAGCGGUGGAAUGCGCAGAUAUCAGGAGGAACACCGGUGGCGAAGGCGGGUCUCUGGGCAGUAACUGACGCUGAGGAGCGAAAGCAUGGGGAGCGAACAGG